GAUGAACGCUGGCGGCGUGCCUAAUACAUGCAAGUCGAGCGAACAGACGAGGAGCUUGCUCCUCUGACGUUAGCGGCGGACGGGUGAGUAACACGUGGAUAACCUACCUAUAAGACUGGGAUAACUUCGGGAAACCGGAGCUAAUACCGGAUAAUCUAUUGAACCGCAUGGUUCAAUAGUGAAAGACGGUUUUGCUGUCACUUAUAGAUGGAUCCGCGCCGCAUUAGCUAGUUGGUAAGGUAACGGCUUACCAAGGCGACGAUGCGUAGCCGACCUGAGAGGGGGGUCGGCCACACGGGAACUGGGACACGCUCCAGACUCCUACGGGAGGCAGCAGUAGGGAAUCUUCCGCAAUGGGCGAAAGCCUGACGCAGCAACGCCGCGUGAGUGAUGAAGGUCUUCGGAUCGUAAAACUCUGUUAUUAGGGAAGAACAAAUGUGUAAGUAACUAUGCACGUCUUGACGGUACCUAAUCAGAAAGCCACGGCUAACUACGUG
rnacentral:rRNA from 1 species